CCUACGGGAGGCAGCAGUGAGGAAUCUUGCGCAAUGGGGGAAACCCUGACGCAGCAACGCCGCGUGAGUGAGGAAGGCCUUCGGGUCGUAAAGCUCUGUCAGAUGGGAAGAAAUGGGUGGGGGCUAAUAUCGUCCACCCUUGACGGUACCAUCAGAGGAAGCACCGGCUAACUCCGUGCCAGCAGCCGCGGUAAUA
rnacentral:rRNA from 1 species